rnacentral:rRNA from 1 species
UACGUAGGCAGCAAGCGUUUGUUCGGAAUUAUUGGGCGUAAAGAGUGUGUAGGCGGUGUUCCAAGUCUGUUGUGAAAUCUCCCGGCUUAACUGGGAGGGUGCGGCGGAAACUGGAAUGCUAGAGGGUGGGAGAGGUAAGCGGAAUUCCUGGUGUAGCGGUGAAAUGCGUAGAUAUCAGGAGGAACACCCGUGGCGAAGGCGGUCUUCUGGGGGUAGUCUUGACGCUGAGGCGCGAAAAGCUGGGGGGAGCGAACGGGG